ensembl:lncRNA LNC-LBCS lncRNA bladder and prostate cancer suppressor, hnRNPK interacting
AUUCACGGAGCCCGCCUCCCCCGCUCCGCUGGCGCCGGCCGGGCGGUCGCCCUGACAACGCAGACGCCAGCCCGCACAAUGACUUCCAGCUGGAGCAGCCCAGCCAGCCUGCGCGCUCACUCGCUUGCUUGCGCUGGGCUUCAGGGCGCCCGGAUUUCUUGCUUCAAAACAGCUGCAUUUUUGGAAGAAAGUCCACAACUGACAACUAAGCAAAACCCUCCUGGUGGAUAGCAUAAAUCUGCUUUGUUGAAGCUGCUCAUUUGUCUGAUCUAUGAGUCCAGAAGAUGCAAACUCCCUUCCCAGCUUAUGCAAAAAUACUUCCAGUAAAAACAAGCCCUUUGGCCCUUUUCUUUUGUCAGUCCAGAUUUCAGCAUGUUCUUCGCUUUGUUAUUCAUCAUUUUAUGUAUUUGGACCCAUCCUCAAACAGACUUUAAACCGUUUAAAGGCAAGGAGGGACUCUUUCGUAAACCUUUAAUCCCCUGGCCCAGCUGAGUAGAUGCACAGUGUCUUUUGAUGAUGGUGAUAUGGAAUGAUUAAUAACCACACAAGGCAUUCGGUUUUUCUGUGGACCUAAAUUUUCAUUUCUCUGGGAUAAAUGUCCAGGAGUGUGAUUGCUGGGUCAUAUGAUCCAGCAGAUAAGCCAGUACUUAAUGCCAAUAAUUGCUCCAACUGGGGUGGAAAAUGGAUAUUUAUACUUCAAAUUUGUGGAUAUCAGUUUUCCAGAAGGGGAAAACAGGAUUGGCUCCUACUUCAGAAAAUGAUCUAGGGGUGAAGAGGUCCUUACUGGCCUUUUCCCCACUGAGUCCCAGCUGGUCUCCUGACAGGGGAUUUUGGGGACCGAUUCACCAAUGUGUGACAGUAUCCAUGCAUAAAGAUGUGAACUGUCUUCUCCCCAAACUUUUAAUCUAUGUAAAUGCAACGCUACAUUCCAAUGUAUUUCUAAGACAGUUUUGCUCUAUGCCAAUCAGCAGAUGAGCCGGGGCUCAUUUUUUGUGGGGUCUGGCUCUUACCUGUUUCCUCUGAAAUCCUAUAAGAUUUUAUUUUUUCUUCUCUUGGACAUAUCACGUAUUUCCUUGAUUUCUACUUAUCGCAGUAACUGUCUUUUCAUUCACAUUAAGGUAACUUUAUAUUGUGGAGUCAGACAGUUCUCUGUCUGCUACUUACCAACUGUCAGAUCUUGUUUGAGCAAACGAAUUAUAUUCUUUGAGCCUCAGUUUCUUUAUCUAUCAAACGGGGAUAAUUAUUUCCAAGCUCAAAAUGCUGUUGUAAGUAUGAAUUAGAAUAAUGAAUAUAAAAUAUGGUACAUGCUAGUCAUUCAUAAGUUUUUCCUUAAAAGUAGACUGUUUCGUAUUUAUAUUUAUAUCUCCCACAGUGCCUCAAUCAUAGUAGAUGCUCAAUAAAUGUGACUCAAUAAG